rnacentral:rRNA from 1 species
UACGUAGGGUGCGAGCGUUAAUCGGAAUUACUGGGCGUAAAGCGUGCGCAGGCGGCUUUGUAAGCCAGAUGUGAAAUCCCCGGGCUCAACCUGGGAAUGGCAUUUGGGACUGCAAGGCUGGAGUGUGGCAGAGGAGACUGGAAUUCCUGGUGUAGCAGUGAAAUGCGUAGAUAUCAGGAGGAAUACCGAUGGCGAAGGCAGGUCUCUGGGCUGACACUGACGCUCAUGCACGAAAGCGUGGGGAGCAAACAGG